ensembl:antisense
CGAAUUUUACAAUGAGUGUUGACUAUUAUUGUGAUCCAUGUAUGUUGAUGCUUGUGAUAAGAAAGCUGGGCCUGAAUGCGUCAGCCGAAUACUAAUAUCUCCAGACUGCCAUUCCCUAUGAGACGCGUACGAGCGGCCUGCAUGCAUAGACUCUGUUACAUAAUUAAUGCAGUGUGCCUUCUCAUUCAGUUGAUUUGCCGACGCAUAUAGGUACAGACGCUUGGAAAAGGGCUACCUGUAACAGAAGUACCUCAUUCUAUCAUGCCAUCAUUUCCUGGCAUGACGAGAGUCAGAAGCCAAGAGGAGGAGCCCUGCUGGCUCACCUGAUGCUUGCUGUACCACCUAGGAGAUCUACGCCAUCCAAACCAAGCUCCAGGUGCAGUAUUGCCAUGCCAUCUCAAUGUCGGUAACCGUCUGGCCUCUCACCGGGGACAACACACUCCAUUUUGUUUUCACAUCCCUAUGGAUGCUUAAAAUGUUCGUUUUUAUUAGUAUUUCAGUAGUAUUCACUUCUCAUAUGUCUAGAAACAGCCACUUAAACUACAAACAGCCAAUGCAAAGUUCAUAACAGUGAACAAAAAACUGUAAAAAUUAUUUUAAAAAGCUGAAACAAUUUUAUGAUCAAUGACAUUACAAUAACAGUUGUGCUCUUUAAUAUUCUUUGUUCAACCUUGAUUUAUCCUUUCAGAGUUAUUUUAGGAACUGUAAGACUUAAAGAACUUGAAACGGAAAUGUUUUCCAACAUAAUAAAUGUCUUUGCUGUCACUUUUGAUCAAUGUAAUGCAUCCUAGUUGAGUAAAUGUUUCUUAAUGGCUUUAAAUGCACAGACCAAAACAACAACGUCUUAAAAACCUCUUUGAGAAAUGAGUUUAAAAACCUCUAUAUCCUCCAUAGCCAUGCUGUCUCUAAGUCAGUAACCGUCUGGCCCCUCACCAGGGACGACACACCUCGUUUUGUUUUCUCAUCCCUACGGACACUUUCAGCCUCAUUUCAUUAGUAUUUCAAUAGCCUUCACUAACCAUGUGUCCAAAAACUGCCACCCUGUAAAUGCUAAUUUGGUGAUCAUGCAACUUUACUUUAAUGAUUAACAAGUUUGCAAAAAGUUCAAAAGAACUGCAACUAUUCACAAUACAAAUGUUUUGUAACAUGAAUAUCUUUGCUGUUACUAAAGAUGAAUUGAGUAUUAAAUAUUAAUUUAUUUUAAACAAAUUUUAAUAAAGCCUGAAAAGAGAGUUUUAAAAACCCCAUGUAUUUGUGCCAUUUCUAAGUCAGUAACCGUCUGGCCUCUCACCAGGGACGACACACCUCAUUUUGUUUUCUCAUCCCUAUGGACACUUUCAGCCUCAUUUCAUUAGUAUUUCAAUAGCCUUCCCCUACCAUGUGUCCAAAAACGGCCACCUGAACAACUAUAGAAAUUAUUCUUACUUUGAUGAUUAUCAACUUUGCAAACAGUUCAAAAGAACUGCAAGUAUUUGCAAUACAAAUGUUUUGUAACCUAAGUGUAGUUGCUGUUACUAUAGAUGAAAUUAGACAUAAAAUAUCUUAAUAUCUCUUAAAUAAAAUUUUAAAGCCCAAAAAGAGAGUCUUAAAAGCCCAUGUAUUUGGGCCAUCUCUAAGUCAGUAACCGUCUGGCCUCUCACCAGGGACGACACACCUCAUUUUGUUUUCUCAUCCCUACGGACACUUUCAGCAUCAUUUCAUUAGUAUUUCAAUAGCCUUCACUAACCAUGUGUCCAAAAACUGC